UCCCUGGCAGUCCAGUGGUUAGGACCUGGCGCUUUUACUGCCAUGGGUCCAGGUUCAAUCCCUGGUCAGGGAA